CCUACGGGGGGCUGCAGUAAGGAAUCUUUCGCAAUGGGGGAAACCCUGACGAAGCAAUACCGCGUGGGCGAUGAAGGCCGAAAGGUCGUAAAACCCUUUUCUGGAGGAAGAAUUCUGACGGUACUCCAGGAAUAAGCACCGGCUAACUCCGUGCCAGCAGCCGCGGUAAUACGGAGGGUGCAAGCGUUAUCCGGAAUUAUUGGGCGUAAAGCGUCCGCAGGCGGCUAAUUAAGUUAAAUGUUAAAUCUUGAAGCCCAACUUCAAGGCCGUAUUUAAAACUGAUUGGCUAGAGUAUUUCAGAGGUAUGCGGAAUUCUGUGUGUAGGGGUAAAAUCCGUAGAUACACAGAAGAACACCAAAAGCGAAGGCAGCAUACUGGGAAAUUACUGACGCUCAUGGACGAAAGCGUGGGUAGCGAACGGGCUUAGAUACCCCGGUAGUC
rnacentral:rRNA from 1 species